CCGGCUAGCGUUUGGACUAUGGCUAAACAUCAUCCGGAUUUGAUCUUUUGCCGCAAGCAGGCUGGUGUUGGUGAGGCAGCUUUCUGCUCCCAGCUGUGUGGGUGGGGAUGGUGUUAGGAGCUGGGGGGUCAGAGGCUCCCGUCUCAUCCUUAGGGUUUUGCCUCGGAGGCGCCACGUUUCCCGCCUCACGCCAUCGGAAGACUGUGUGAAAAAUGUGAUGGCAAAUGUGUGAUCUGUGACUCCUACGUGCGUCCCUGCACUCUGGUGCGCAUAUGUGAUGAGUGUAAUUAUGGUUCUUACCAGGGGCGCUGUGUGAUCUGUGGAGGCCCUGGAGUCUCUGAUGCCUAUUAUUGUAAGGAGUGCACCAUCCAGGAGAAGGAUAGAGAUGGUUGCCCCAAGAUUGUCAAUUUGGGGAGCUCUAAGACAGAUCUCUUCUAUGAACGCAAAAAAUACGGCUUCAAGAAGAGGUGAUUGGUGGGUGGCCUCUUCCUCCCACCAAGCUGCUGCAGCUGCCAGAAAAGACGCCUACCACCGCCAGCACAGAGGAAGUAGGCGCAGGGCACCAUCUGAGUGCCUGUUAGAACACGGGCCCCCUCUCCACCUUGCCUCUCCUCUCACCUGGACACGGGAUAGGAUCGGAAAAGAAAUCUUUCACAGAACACUCUGGCACACCAUAGCAGAGAAAAAUUGAUAGACUGGUUCAUGAUUUUUCUUGAAUUCAAGAAACAAGCACGUUUUCCAAAUUGCUAUGUUCUCUCUACACCAAGAGCUUCUCAAACAGGAAUAAUAUCAUCUCAGUCUUCUGUUUGAGGAAUUGACUGUGAAGCUACUGCAGUGAGAAACCUGUUCUUGGCAGCUGUCCUUGAUGAGACAUCUGCAGUGUGGUGGGGGGCUCUCCAAACAGUCAUCGUGGGCAUUGGAUCUUGUAACACUUAGCAGGUGGUGCCUGUUCAUGUUAUUUUUCUUCUAAGAACUUGGAAUCCUUUUCUGUUGCUGUUGUAUUAAUAAAGCAGGUGUUUCUUUUCUGGUA